UUUUUUUUUAAAGUCUUCAUGGAUUUGUUUUGUCCCUAAGGGUGAGGGAGUUAGAUGUGAGAUAAUAUCUCACAUCUAGAUGUGAAAUAGUUGUGCUUUUAAGAUUUUGCAGCAAACCAAAGAACACGAUUUUGCACCAGUCCUCUCCUCCCUCGGCCGGUCGGCCCUCGCUAGCUCCGUCGAUGCUGGUGCGAUUCCGGCUAGUCAGCACAAACGCUGAAGUCACUAGAGACGCUGCGUUUUGACGAGCGUGGUCGGACCGGCGAAACCGUUCCUGGUCCAAAGAGAGGAAGGGUCGUGGUCGUGCUCCCACCUGCCGUGGAAACUCCGACGAUGUUGAUUUGAUUCCAAAGUGGCGUCAACGCGACUAGGAAUUAAGCAGGUAAGAGCAUCACCACUCGUUUGCGGGCAGGAGGCAUUUUUUUCGCCGCUUGGGGGCUGCCGGCGAGAAUUUUGGCCUAGGGAGGGGGCAAAAAAUUUCACUCGUUGCGCCCCCCACGAGCAGUGUUGGGCUCCCUCGGAGGCAGCGGCAUUUCGUCGAGCAUCUUGACUGCGGCGGCGUCGACGACCUCCAGCCAGCGGAGGUGCGCGAGCGUCGACGGGGAAGGAGGCGAUGAGAAGCUCGAGGAGACAUCCAGCAGCCGGCAGCCGACGUCGAGUCGCAGAUCACGCCCAGGAGCAACUCAGGUCGGGGCUCCGCGCGCACCGGGAGAGCCGGUGCCGGCAUGGCAUCGCGGCGCCUGCGGUGCACUAGAAGUACAGCGCCCCGAGACGGCCAACGGCACCGGGCUGCUCUGGUUCGCAUCACUGGCACCGGCAUGGCGCGCUCCCUGCUCCCGGUGAUGCGCUCCUCUUCGCCGCCAGCGCCGCGGUGGGCGCCCUGCUGCUGCUCACACUGGCCUCGCCCUUCUCUCCGCCCGCCAUGCUGCUGCUCCUCUUCGCCGUCGGCGCCGCGGUAGGCGUUGUAACUUGCCGCGGCCCCGCCGCGCCAGCCUCCUCCCGGGCCGCGCACCGGCUCCCGCGCGCCGUCGCGUCACACCUUCGCCUGCGCCGCGCCAGGCUCCUGGGCAGGCCGCCCUCCUCCACCGUGCUGCUCCUUGUUGGAUUAAUUAUGAAUCUAUGGGAUGCCAUUAGCAGGAUCAAAUUGCAUUUAGAUCACCCAAUAACCAUGAACAGAGAAAAGUUCAGAGAUCCUUUACAUGUCAUGGGAGUGGACAUGAUCGCCUGCUCAGUGCAGGCGUGAUGCAGGGGUGAUGUAGUGGAAGCAGAGGUUCUCCUCGACGUCCUGAUUCCUUCAGGACGCCACCGGGACUAGCCGAGGACGGCAGCGGUGGCGGCUGGAGUAGGUCUUCCCGUCGCUGCAGCGCUCCCACUAUUCGGAUGGGGUGAGAGAAUAUCGGGAGGGGAGUGAAACCGUACGAGAAUUGUAAUCGCGCGGGCUGCCAACCCACUCACGUACCCCCUUUUAUCUAGCGCUGGCGACAGGGGACCUAAACCAUCAGUUGGUUUGGGUGCCCCCGAUCAGGGCGCCUCAGUUGGGAUAAAAAGCCCACGUACGUUGGUGCGUGGGGCCUUUUCAUUAACGUUAUCUUCCUUUUUUCUGUUAGACUAAUAGAUCUAACUGGCCUGUUAAGCCGUCAGAUCAAACCAACAUUCUCCCCCUUGAUCGUUAGGCUUAACUUCAUUCGCCCAUUCUACAUAGGAAUGAUGUACCAAAGUGAGGUGUUACAACAGCUCGAAACGCCAUAGAACCUCAACACUUAUAGCACACCCGCCUAUUUCGAAAUGGAAAACGUUUUGGUAAUUGGGGAGUGGUUUAUUUUAAUGGUCCUCUUAUUCCAGAAUCAUAAGGCUGAGAAGCAAUGGAACGGACGUCAUCUAGCAAUGACCAAGAAGAGGUCCUGAACACCUACUUACGUCAAACAUAACACAGACCGUGUUCACUUCCCGGACUCCGCCGAGAAGAGACCAUCACGGUUACACACGCACUUGGUGUAUUUUAAUUGGGUCAAGUGACAAGUUAUCUACAACCGGACAUUGACAAAUUCUCAUCUGCCUCAUAACCGCGGGCACGGCUUUCGAAAGAUAAUACCCUGCAGGGGUGUCCCAACUUAGCCCAUCAUAAGCUCUCACGGUCAACGAAGGAUAAACCUUCUCCCGGAAAGACCCGAUCAGUCUCGGAGUCCCGGUUUACAAGACAUCUCGACAAUGGUAAAACAAGACCAGCAAAGCCGCCCGAAUGUGCCGACAAAUCCCGAUAGGAGCUGCACAUAUCUCGUUCUCAGGGCACACCGGAUAAGUCAAGCUACGAGUAAAACCAGACCUCGAGUUUCCCCGAGGUGGCCCCGCAGGCUGCUCGGUUCGGACCAACACUCGAAGGAGCACUGGCCCGGGGGGGGGGUUAAAAUAAGAUGACCCUCGGGCUCGCGAAAACCCGGCGGAAAAGGCUUAGGCGGCGAAUAGUAAAACCAAAGUUGGGCCUUGCUGGAGGAGUUUUAUUCAAGGCGAACUGUCAAGGGGGUCCCAUAAAUCACCCGACCGCGUAAGGAACGCAAACUCAAGGAACAUAAUUCCGGUAUAACAGUAACUAGGGCGGCAAGAGUGGAACAAAACACCAGGCAUAAGGCCGAGCCUUCCACCCUUUACCAAAAUAUAUAGAUGCAUUAAUUAAAUAAGAGAUAUUGUGCUAUCCCAACAUAUCCAUGUUCCGACCUGGAACAAACUUCAACUUCACCUGCAACUAGCAACGCUAUAAAAGGGGCUGAGCAAAAGCGGUAACAUAGCCAAACAACGGUUUGCUAGGAAAGGAUGGUUAGGGGCUGACAUGGCUAAAAAUAGGAGACAUGAUAUAGCAAGUGAUAGGUAGCGAGCAUGACAAUAGAGCGAACAACUAGCAUAGCAAAGAUAGAAGUGAUUUCGAGGGGUGGUCAUCUUGCCUGCAAGGUUCUCAGAGUUGUCGAAAGCUUGAUCCUCGUAAGCGUACUCGACAAGUUCCUCGUUCACGAACUCGUCUCCCGGCUCUACCCAAGACAAGAACACAAACAAACGGAACCACAAUCAACAACGAGAAAUGCGCAAGCAACAUGAUGCAAAACAUGUAUGAUAUGCAAGAUAUGGUCUGCGAUGCAUAUGCGUGCUCCGGAAGGAAAAUGAUGAACAUGGCAGUAACUUGGCAAACCAAGCAUGCCACUGGAAAGAUGAGAUGAUUUCGGUCGAAAUCGAUAUAAAGAUCACCGGAAUCGGAUGCACGGUUUGCAAAUGACAAGCAAAACAAGAAUGACACUAAUCUGCGAUAAACAGCAAGAUAGCACUUAAAAUGCAACAAACAAUAAAGCUACCGCACCCCAACAUAGCAACAAAGCACAUGGCAGUAAUCUACAGGAGAUGCUUGACAAAAGAUGAACACUGAGUUACGGCUAGUUCACAACAUAUCAAGCUCAAACAAGCAUGGCAAAAGUGCAAAAGAUUACAGGUUCACAGACUUGGUGAAAAACUGGACAUGGCAGAAAUCAUCAUCAGGUAGCAAUGUUCAGAGCACGAAAUCAACAUGCUACAGGAACUUAACAUAGCAAAACAAGGCAUGGUAGUGUUCUACUAAAUGCACACGACAAAAGUCCCUUACUGACCAUAAGCCAAAAAGGAUCAGAAGAUAUGAUGGCAAGCAUGUAAACAUAGCAAGUUUCGUUAUCAGGUUUCAGACUUAGCAGAAAACAGAGCAUGGCAGAAAUAUUAAUAUGUAGUCCUCUUUGUGAGCUUGAUGCACUCACUACAGAGCAAUGCAUCACAAACCAAGCAUACCUACAGCAAGAUGGCAUGUCUAUGAAGCUAUCCAUAUCAAGAACAAUUGCAUAGCAUGUAUGGAUCAAUUACAAUAAGCUUGGCAAGAUUGCAAAUCAUGUUAAGAAUCUGCCAGAAAUAUUUUAUAGCAAACGUAGAGCAAAAUUGAGUCAUGCUAUGGCACUCUAAAAUUUCAAACAAUUGCAGGAAUGGAUCAAUUACAACUAUAGCUACAAAACAUCCUUACUUAACAUCUCCAAAAUAUGCAUGGAUCUCUCUGUAGCAUCAAGUUUACAUGGCAACAAAAUUACAGCAGACAAGACAGAAAUCACUAAGUCCCUGAAAUCAGAAAUAUUACGGGGCCUACUUUGCAUGCUUGUGCUAGUCACCACAAAGAUCACCAAAAUACAUGGACUACACCACUGGAAAUAUGGCAUGGCAUACUUCAAAACACAUGUAGAUCUCAUGCUCAAAAGAUGCACAGAAUAAAUGAUACAAAAAUGACAAAUCUCCAAGUUCUGACAAGAACCAGAGAUUAACAGCAACUAGCCCUCUUCCAACGAAGAUUUGGGCAUCAAGAUGACCUCUAAUGAAAAUGGUGCAAUUGAACAAAAUGAAGAGCAUCACGAGAUGAACAAUUUGACAUAUUAUACGCGCCAAUCGGAGCUACAUGCACAAAGUUAUCGCAACGGAAACAGGAGCACAUGCGGAUAGAAAAAUACAGAGGGGCGAGAAAUCAACGGGCUCACAGAUCUGGAUCGAGCUCCCGAGCUCGGGCUCGACCGGAGGCGAGGCAGGGGCCGACGAGGCGAGGGGCGAGGGGGCCGGAGGCGGUCGCCGGCGGCGGGGCUGGACCGGAGGCGNNNNNNNNNNNNNNNNNNNNNNNNNNNNNNNNNNNNNNNNNNNNNNNNNNNNNNNNNNNNNNNNNNNNNNNNNNNNNNNNNNNNNNNNNNNNNNNNNNNNNNNNNNNNNNNNNNNNNNNNNNNNNNNNNNNNNNNNNNNNNNNNNNNNNNNNNNNNNNNNNNNNNNNNNNNNNNNNNNNNNNNNNNNNNNNNNNNNNNNNNNNNNNNNNNNNNNNNNNNNNNNNNNNNNNNNNNNNNNNNNNNNNNNNNNNNNNNNNNNNNNNNNNCCGGGAACGGGCCCGCGGGCCGGCGGCGGUGGCGGUUGGACGUUGUCCGGCGCGGACGGACGCGUCCGGCGGCGCGGUGGGAAAAACGCUAGGGUUUGUCUGCGAAUCCGUUUUUCGGGAUGCCCACUUAUAAAUAGGUAGAGGGAGCUAGGAGACUCCAAAUGAGGUGCGGUUUUCGCCCACACGAUCGUGAUCGAACGACCUAGAGCAUGGAAGAGAGUUUGGUGGGCUUUGGGCUGGUUUUGGAGCGGGUUUUUGCUGGACACUCAAAUGGACUUUGCGGAUGCCCGGUUAACCGUUGGAGUACCAAACGACCUCCGAAUGGAACGAAACUUGACCGGUAGUCUCCGGGUGGUAUAUUAAGAUCACUUGACAAGCCUCGGUCCAUUCCGAGAAAGUUUGACACACGCACACGAAAGAAAACUAGAGGGGUGCACCGGAGGAGAUAGGAGCGCCGGAUUGGAAAACGGACAACGGGGAAAAUGCUCAGAUGCAUGAGACGAACACGUAUGCGAAUGCAAUGCACAUGAUGACAUGAUAUGAAAAUGCAAGACAUGACAAAAUACAAAACGAAAAACAAAACCCGACAACGGAGGGAAAAACAUAUCACAUAGCCGAAAAUGGCAAGAGUCGGAGUUACAAAUAUGGCAAGUUACAUGCGGGGUGUUACACAAAGUAUGCUUUUUGAGAUAGUCCUAACGUUCCCCUGGACCUAUCUCAAUGAAUCUCGAUGCCGAGGACAUACGAGGCUUCACCAAGAUCUUUCAUAUCAAAACUGGAUGACAGAAAAUUCUUGGUCUCAUGCAGCAUAUCCUUAUCGCUACAUGCCAACAAUAUGUCAUCAACGUAUAGGACUAAAAAUGUGAACCUACUGCCUUUAAACUUAACGUAUAUGCAGUUGUCCACAACAUUUUCGGUGAAACCAAAAGUUUUGAUAAUUUUAUCAAACUUGAGGUACCACUCUCUUGAAGCUUGCUUCAAGCCAUAAAUUGAUUUCUUUAGACGACAUGCUAAAUGUUCCUUCCCUUCCAUAACAAAGCCUUCUGGCUGAGCCAUGUAAACGUUUUCUUUUAAGUCACCAUUCAGAAAUGUCGUUUUAACAUCCAUUUGGUGUAGUUCUAGGUCGUAAUGAGCUACUAAUGCCAUUAUGAUUCUAAAAGAAUCCUUGGUUGACAAAUGAGAGAAGGUUUGCUUAUAAUCAAUGCAUUCUCUUUGUGUAUACCUUUUUGCCACUAGCCUUGCCUUGAACCGUUCGACAUUCCCUUUGGAAUCAUACUUGGUUUUGUAGACCCACUUGCGGCCUACUUUCUUAGCUCCAUCGGGAACUUCUACUAAGUCCCAAACGUAGUUUGAGCCCAUAGACUUCAACUCGUCUUCCAUGGCAACCAACCACUUGGAUGAAUUUUCGCUUUUAAUGGCUUCCUUAUAAGAGGUUGGAUCCUCCACCUUUCCCAGAUCAUUCAUAUCCUCAAUCAUGUAUGUGAUAUAAUCAUCUGAUAUGGCUUUCUUUCUCUCACGACGUGGCCUGCCCACAGGAGGAGGUGGUGGAGGAGCAUCAUUGUUCUGAGGGUCAUCUUCAUUACCCGACUGGUGAUCCUCUUCACCUUCUGGAUUGACAUUAGUUUCAGGAUCACCAUCAGCCUCAGGACCUGAAGUACUAGAUUGAGGAUUAGCAUGAGACGUCACUACACUUUGUAGUGGCAAAACAAUCUCUUGGAUAGUCGGGGAUGGAACACACGCCUGUUUCUCCUCAAGAUUGAUCUCCCUUAUUUCGGUGGCUUCGUUAUCCUCAAAAAGUACUGCUUGUCGAGUCUCCACAUACUUGGUGGUGUGACCCGGACAAUAGAAACGGUAUCCCUUUCCCCUAUGAGGGUAUCCAAUGAAGAAACAACUAACUGUCUUUGGAUCUAAUUUCUUAAGUUGUGGAUUGAAAAUUCUAGCCUUCGCGGGACAGCCCCAUACACGUAAGUAAUUCAAGCUCGGUUUCUUUCCCGUCCACAUCUCGUAAGGUGUGUUCGGUGCUGCUUUAGUAGGAGCGAGAUUUAGCACAUGUGCGGCCGUCUUUAAUGCCUCCAUCCAUAGGCUGAGUGGUAAACUUGCAUGACUGAGCAUGCUUUGCACCAUGUCCAUAAGUGUGCGGUUUCGGCGUUCAGCCACGCCAUUUUGUUGAGGUUCACCAGGCAUUGAAUACUGGGCAACAAUUCCAUUCUCAGAGAGAAACUUAGCAAAAGGUCCUGGAAUUUGCCCAUAAGGGGCAUGCCUACCAUAAUACUCUCCCCCGCGAUCUGAUCGUACAGCUUUUAUUUUAGUGUUUAGUUGGUUCUCAACUUCGGCUUUGAACACUUUGAAUUUGUCCAAAGCUUCCGAUCGAUCACGUAUAGGAUAAAUAUAUCCGUAUCGAGAAAAGUCGUCUGUGAGGUAAUGAACGAAUCAAAACCAUCCAUAGACUUAAUAUUAAGGGGUCCACAUAUGUCAGUGUGUAUGAGUUCAAGGACACCCGUGGCUCUUACCGCUCCUUUCUUAACCGUUUUUGCGUAUUUACCUUUUAUACAGUCAAUGCAUUUGUCUGCAUCAGAGAAGUCUAAUGGGAGGAGUACGUCAUUUUUAAUAAGUCUUUCAAUUCUCCCCCUCGAAAUGUGGCCUAAACGACGAUGCCACAAUUUCAAAGAGGUACUCGUACCCUUCCAUUUCUUCUCAAUAUUACAUACAUCACUCACAUGCAGGAUAUAAUCAUUCAAUGAUAACAUAUAUCAUUGGCCUUGUCUGACACCGAGGCCUACGUUCUUAUUACAAUAAUUCAAAAUGAAUUGUUUGUUCCCAAACUUGCUCUCAAACAUGUUAUCAUCUAGGCAAGAGACAGAAAUCAAAUUCCUACUUAAGGUAGGGACAUAAAGAACAUUAUUUAAAUGAAGACGGAAGCCAGUGUGGAGUUCUAAGGUGAUUGACCCUAUGGCUUCAACAUCAACUUCGACUCCAUUUGCCACCUUAAGUCUUCUUGCCCCCUUUGCCAUGGUUUGGAUUAUAUUUGAGUCUUGCAUAGAAUUAGCAACAUGAGAAGUUGCACCUGAAUCAAUCCACCAAGAGGUAGUAGAGUAAUCAACAUAUAACAUUUCAUCAACGAAAGUAAUUUCAUCAGUACCUUUCUUCAUCAACCAUUUGAGGAAUUCUGGACAGUCUUUCUGAUAAUGGCCCUCAUUCUUGCAGAAGUUGCACUUGUUGUCUUUAGGCUUAUCGUCCACCUUCUCCUUUGCUUUAUAUGAGUUUGAUGAAUUUUCUUAAAGAACUUCUUUUGUGGUUGUUGCUUAGAAGAGCUUGCUCCAUCGUGUUUUCUCUUGGAGGAGCCAACCAUAAAGGCUUGGUCCUUUCCUUGCCUCUUAAUCCUCUCUUCUUCCUCGACAAUUCUUGGAGAUAUCUCCGCGAUUGUCCAUUUCUCUUUAAGAGAGUUAUAGUUAACCUUAAAUUGAUCAAACUCUUUAGUGAGGGAGUCCAAGAUCAUGAUGACAAGGAGAUUGUCAUUGAGCUCACAUUGUAAUGCCUUCAAUUUGUUACAAGCAUUCACCAUCUUUAAAAUGUGAGCCCUGACAUCACCAUCAUUAUUAUACUUGCUUGUGAAAAAGUUCUUGCGCAUAAACCUUGUCGGAGCCUUUAAAUUGCUCCUCCGGGGCUGCCAUGAAUUCCUUAGGAGUAUCUUUCUUGGGUAGUGCCCCAAUUAUGUCAGGUGAUAUGGAUGAUCUCAUCACAAGCAUAGCAAUGUGAUUUGACUUUUCCCAUAUCUCCAUCUUGGAAUCAUAAGUUUUCUUUAGUUCAGCAUACCCCGUGACACCAGCAGCGGGAGCCACGGGUUUAUCCUCCCCUAAGGCAUAAUCAAACUGAUGGACGGCUAGGCAUAAUUCCAUCGAGUUCUUCCAAUGAGGGAAGUUACUACCUGUCAACGGUUCGACAGUAAACGCAAGGGAAGCUGUAAUGGACAUGAAAGAGUUUAUGAGUAAUUGACAUGAACAUGAAAUUUUACGUCAAAAUAGACAUGCCAUGUAUUUAAUUUCAACUCCAUGUCAAAACAGCGUUGGGCAGAAAAAACAUGGAAUUAAAAUAUCAUAAGUGAUGACUCAUAAUAAUAAAACAACGUUGGUCCGAAUUAAAAUCAGAGUCAUUUCAUUCUCAAUUUAGACAUCAACAUAAGAAAAAUAUCAUUAUUUUUUAUGUCUAAAAAAAUUCAUCAUGCAAACAAAUAAUAAAUCCUGAACAAAAUAUCUCGUUGGUUCAAUUUUACCCAGAAUAAUAAUGUGUUCAUUAUAUUUUUAGGCAUUUUCUGUUUUAAACAGUGCAAAACAUAAAAGAUAUUAACUUACUGUGCACUGGAAAUUACAGAAAAAUGCGAUGGCCCAAAUGUAACGCCCCGAGACCGAUGCUCCAGAAGCCUUCAAUGUUCUUCGUUGUCGUUGUGUGUUUUAUUUGUUUGUUGCAUUCAUCAUUGCAUCAUCCGCAUUGCAUCCGCUUGUUUUCUUAAAACUUGCAUCCAUUCGUAGUUCCCGCUUCUCCCUGUCGCCUCCGUUGACCGUUCUCAGUCCAACUGUUCUUUUGUUGUCCGGCCAUUUGAACCUCCCUACACAGUGCUUCGACCCCUCUCGCGCGUCCGAAACUUCCCCGAACCCGAAUCGGACUAUCGUUACCGUUGGGUCCGGAUCAUCCCCUAACAUCUACAAAACAUCUCUGUUUUCUUAUUUGGACUCCCUAUCUAUUUUUCUCGACCGCCCGAUUACGAUCGGACGGACCGAGUUAAUCCCUACCCUAAUCCCCUACCUAUUUAAAUAGACUAACCCUAAAACCGAGGGACCUUGUCCCAUCCACCCGUCGCCUCCGCCGCCACUCCACCCAAAUUCCCCUCGGGAUCCAUCCCCAAUCAGCCUAGCUACCUUCCUCCUACCCGCACCCGCAGCCAUCCAACCAGCGCCCGAGCCCGAGCUCCUUCGAUCGGAGCCACCAAGAGAUCCCUGCUGCCCCGACCGAGAGCGAGCUUCUCCCGUUUGCUCCUCUCUCCAUGGCGCCGUCGCCGCCGGCGAACCCAGCCACCCCGAGUUCCUCUCGUGCUCCUCCCAUGGCGCCCUCGUUCCCGAGCACGGCGACCCCGCCGCCUUGAACUCCCGUGCGUGCAUCCACUUGUUCUCGUCGCCCUCCGUCUUCUUCGCAGCACCACAGGACCAGCAGCUCCACCGCGCGUGCCCGUCUUCGGCGACCUCGUCCUUCACGUGCUGCCGGUCAAGUCCCUCUCCUUCCCUUUUCUCUCUUCUCCCAUGGCCACUCUGUUUCCCCGUCUCCCUCACCUCUCUCUCCUCUUCAGGAACCCCACGACGCUGCCGUAGACCCAGCCAUGGCGCCCAUGGAGUCCCAAGCAGCAGUCGUCCGCCUCCGGCGAGAACCGACCGUCUCCGACCGGAUCCGCUGCGGAUCCAGCCCUCCCGCUGCUGCCUCGCCAGCCUCGCUCACGCCCCUGCUCGCCGGCGCCAAGUCCCUGUCGCCGCUGCUCUACUUCCCUGUCGAGCAGAGGACGCCCGUCCCAGCCGCGUUGACCGCACCGAUCCACGACACCUGAACACCCGCGGGUCGGCCUCCUCCGCGCCAAGGCCAAGCGCGCCCCUUCGCGGCCUGCCUAGCCUCCUCCCCACCGAACUGGGCCUGGCUCAUGGUGAGCACCCCAGCGCCCAGCAAGUUUCGGCCCGUAGUAUUUUUUUUCUGCUGCGGUGAUUUUCGCAUUUAUCCAGGAGAUUACAGAUUUGCAGAAAAACCCUUGAACUUCAUGCAUAUAAUAACUCACAAAUGGUGCAUCGGAUUAAAAUGAUUUUAACAUGUAAAAAUGCUCAGAAAUUUGUGUAGUUAAAUAAUAUGCCACUUUCACCCAUGUUAAAAUUGUUUAAAAUGUUGUUUGAUUAGAUUUUCUCGAAUAAUAUGUUAAAAUGAUUUAUUUCAUAACUAAAUAACCGUAGCUCGGAUUAUAAUAAACUUUAUAUGUAAAUGGGGUAGAAAAAUGCCUAGUUUAACUUGGUGCACUUCAUUUUGCUGUUUAACAAUAUUAAAAUUGCGUUUAUGGCAGAACAGUACCAAUCCCAAUAUAUGGACAUGAGGAUUUUCCGGAAUUGUUGUUGUUUGUUUCCGGCCUCAUUUAACUUGCUUAAAUAGGUAGUUUCCUUAUGCUUCACCUCUUGCCAUGGUUAAUAACAUUUAAUAUUGUUGGUUACUUAAACAAGAGCGAACUAAAUAACUCCAAUGUGGUGUUUCGUCAAUAUGCAACUCGUUGCAUAUUGAGCUCCACUUAAUUUGUAGUGUUGUUUGUUGCACUUUGCUAUGCCAUGCAUAUUUAAACCGGACAUGCAUCAUAUUUGUUUUUUUUGCAUCAUGCCAUGUGUAUGUGGUGGUUUGUUUACUUUGUUGUUUGUUUCUUUCCGGGUUGCUUCUCUCGUUAGCUUCGGUUUCAUUCCGGAGUUGUGAGGAUUCGUUCGACUACGUUCGUUUGUCUUCUUCAUGGACUCGUUCUUCUUCCUAGCGGGAUCUCAGGCAAGAUGACCAUACCCUCGAAAUCACUUCUAUCUUUGCUUGCUAGCUGUUCGCUCUAUCGCUAUGCCGCGCUACCUACCACUUGCUUAUCAAGCCUCCCAAGUUGCCAUGAACCUCUAACCUUUGUCACCCUUCCUAGCAAACCGUUGUUUGGCUAUGUUACCGCUUUUGCUCAGCCCCUUCUUAUAGCGUUGCUAGUUGCAGGUGAAGAUUAAGUUUGUUCCUUGUUGGACCAUGGAUUUUAUGAACUCUGUUGGGAUAUCACAAUAUCUCUUAUCUUAAUUAAUGCAUCUAUAUACUUGGCAAAGGGUGGAAGGCUCGGCCUUAUGCCUGGUGUUUUGUUCCACUCUUGCCGCCCUAGUUUCCGUCAUACCGGUGUUAUGUUCCUUGAUUUUGCGUUCCUUACGCGGUUGGGUGAUUUAUGGGACCCCCUUGAUAGUUCGCUUUGAAUAAAACUCCUCCAGCAAGGCCCAACCUUGGUUUUACCAUUUGCCUACCUAAGCCUUUUUCCCUUGGGUUCUGCAGACUCAAGGGUCAUCUUUAUUUUAAACCCCCGGGCCAGUUCUCCUUCGAGUGCUGGUCCAAACCGAGCGAUGUCCGGCGCCCCCUGGGCAACCAGGGUCUAUGCCAACCCGACGUCUUGCUCAUCCGGUGUGCCCUGAGAACGAGAUAUGUGCAGCUCCUAUCGGGAUUUGUCGGCACAUCGGGCGGCUUUGCUGGUCUUGUUUUACCAUUGUCGAAAUGUCUUGUAAACCGGGAUUCCGAGACUGAUCGGGUCUUCCCGGGAGAAGGUUUAUCCUUCGUUGACCGUGAGAGCUUAUGAUGGGCUAAGUUGGGACACCCCUACAGGGUUUUAUCUUUCGAAAGCCGUGCCCGCGGUUAUGUGGCAGAUGGGAAUUUGUUAACGUCCGGUUGUAGAGAACUUGACACUUAACCUUAAUUAAAACGCAUCAACCGUGUGUGUAGCCGUGAUGGUCGCUUCUCGGCGGAGUCCGGGAGGUGAACACGGUUUCUGGGUUAUGUUUGACGUAAGUAAGAGUUCAGGAUCACUUCUUGAUCAUUGCUAGUUCACGACCGUUCCGUUGCUUCUCUUCUCGCUCUCUUUUGCGCAAGUUAGCCACCAUAUAUGCUUAUUGCCGCUGCAGCUCCACCUCAUUACACCAUCCUCUCCUAUAAGCUUAAAUAGUCUUGAUCUCGCGGGUGUGAGAUUGCUGAGUCCUCGUGACUCACAGAUACUUCCAAAACAGUUGCAGGUGCCGUUGAUACCAGUGCAGGUGACGCAACUGAGCUCAAGUGGGAGCUCGAUGAAGAUCUUGUUCGUUCUGUUGUUUCUUUUCAUAUUGAUCAGUAGUGGUGCCCAGUUGGGACGAUCAGGGAUCUAGCAGUUGGGUUGUCUUCUUUUAUUUUGGUUCCGUAGUCGGACCUAUGUGUGUACUCUGGUUGAUGUAUGAUUUAUUUAUGUAUGGUGUGAAGUGGCGAUUGUAAGCCAACUCUUUAUCCCAUUCUUGUUGAUUACAUGGGAUUGUGUGAAGAUGACCCUUCUGGCGACAAAACCACAAUGCGGUUAUGCCUCUAAGUCGUGCCUCGACACGUGGGAGAUAUAGCCGCAUCAUGGGUGUUACAAGUUGGUAAUCAGAGCCAUCCCCGACUUAGGAGCCCCCUGCUUGAUCGAAUCGCUGGCGUUGUUGAGUCUAGAACAAAAAUGUUUUGAGUCUUAGGACUAUAUAUAUCGGAGAGUAGGAUUCUUUUUACUCCUCAGUCCCUUCGUUGCUCUGGUGAGGCCUCCUGACGUAGAAGUUUUGACUUUUCUCUCCUCAAAUUUCACUAAAAAAAAUUUAGGAUCACGCGGGUAUCUUGGAAUCGUUCCGAUGGUUUUGUGACGAGAACAUUGUUCUUGGUGCCUCCUGACAUUUAGGGGUUGUGGCAGUGUCCUGGGGAGUUGAGCUCCGAGGUGUUGUCGUCACAAUUUUAUCGUUGCAGUUCUGGAAUACCUGAGUUUUGCCGACAUCGAAAUCUCUUUUAUGCAGUUGUUGGUGAGAUCACCUCGACGCCACCCAGUACUGGGGUGGGAGUUCGGGAGUAUUGCCAUAACUCGUAUAACGGAUGCUUUUCGAAGGUUGAGGUAAACGAUUUUCGAAGGUUUCUUGGUUAUGUGUUGAAGGAUGGAUACAGCUGGAUCUAGGUAUUGUUAGUUUGGGUGAUAUAUUUUGUGUCCCCUGUAUCCCCAACACCUGACUGCAUAACCAGAAAGUUUCGGGAGUUUAUAAGUGGGAAUUCAAGUAGCUCCUAGGAUAUCUUUCCGACAGACGCAUGAUAUGAGAUUGGGGUUUGACGUCUAGUGGUCCGCCUGUACACUAUUGGUUUUACAGUGGUCUCGUAGUGUCUUAAAGAGUCCUUGGCUAUGCCGACUCGGGGACGCUUCGUAUGUCAUGUGCACUGCCUUCUACAUGAUGGUGCUGUACGAUUGAGCCCGUGUGGGCCCCACCAUGAAAACUUCAGAUGAAAUUUCUAUCAUAUGUUUGUUCCGGCUUAUUCUGUGAGCCAAUCCUUUGUUUUGUUUUUAUUUGUGGUAUUCGAGUUGCUUCGAAGUCAAAUGUUGAAUCCAUACCUUCCCUAAACGGUGUUCUCAUAUUGCUAUGUGAUUACUAAUCCUUCUUGAUCAUCGAGAUCGUCAUGUUAAUUCUUUUCCAACCGGCGUGUUUCUUUUCAAGUGCAUCCAGUCAUUCCAACGUUCGCAAGAUCGAUUCUAAGCUUUUCUCAACGGUGUUCGUUUCAUCCGACCCAAGUUGUCUUUGUUUUCCCACCCUCCCACCCUUUUUCUUCAAGGACUCAGAUUUCUUAAUCAAGUAUCCAUUCUAGUCAUGUGAAGCCCCUUCAUUCUUUUCAAUCAAUGUGCUUACCCGGUGGUUCUCAUGAAGUUGUUCUUCAAGUUUUUUAUUCUUCGUUCUUUUUCUUCUCCGGUGGACUCAAGUCAAGCUUUCAGUGGUGAUCGUAUUCUUUUCCUCGUUUCAAAUGCUUUCUUAUGUCGGUGCAUCUCUUAAUCAUUCCCCGCUUGCUAUUCAAUUGUUCCGGAGUGAUGAAGAUAUCUCAGAAGAUUCAAGUUUCCAGUCUCAAUUCUCUCAAGUUCUUUUGAGGAUGCUAUCUCAUUCAAGCCAUUUAAUUCAACUAGUACGAUCUCUCUUUUAAAUCAUUCCAACGGUGUUUCUUUUGAGUGGGCCCAUAUCCCACAGGUCUUUUUCCAGGAUCUUACCUGACUCUUCUAAUUUUUUGGAGUUAUUCUCAAAUUCAUUGCAAAAUUUGACGUAAGAAUGAAUUAUCAUCAGUUAAAUGUCUUUCUCCAAGAUCUUUUAAAUUCUUUUAAUCAUUGGUUCAACAUUUCUAAUUUUCAUUCCGGAGUGCCUCAACAAUUCAUGGUGGUGUUUCUCAUCGUCAUUCUCAACAUUUGAAGACCGAAGAAGAGUUUCUCUUAAAUAUUGCUCCAUUCUCUUCAAGAUUCAUAGUUCUAGCUUAUGCCAUCCUCUCAUAAUUGUUUUCGAUUGCGAGAAUUCUUUUGUUACCCAUCUGGAGCAUUUCAGGAGUCUUGUCAGUUUGAUUCUCCGAAGGCCAUCAUCUCAGAAGAUUUCUUCGUUCUAAGUUAUCAGCUUCGUUCUCCAAUUAUUCUAAAUUGAUGUCUCUUCGUUCUUCUCCAUAUUCUCCCGGUGCAUCACUCAAAUUUCCUCUAAUCAGUUCAUGAUAUCUUCCUUCUCGUGUAUCUAAAUUCUGUCAAGUAUCUUCAUUCAUUUUCUAAUUCUUUCCGUUGAAUUGUGCCUUUGCUACUUUCAUUUUCAAUUCUUACGGUGGUUCGUUCAAGAUUUAUCUUCCUUCGUUAUCAUAUCAAUUUAUUCGUUGUUUCAAUCCUACCGGUGGUGCGAUGAAGACCUUCCCAAGUUUGCGCAAUAUCUAUGUUAAUCCUUUCUACGAGAAUAAGUAGUAUGCAAGAUCCGUUGCUUGUCAUCAAUUUAAAUUGGUGAAGGAUACGCAUAACGUAAUUCUUAUUCUUGUUUCAUCCUAGUGUUUAAUCCCUUCUUUUGGAGUUCGUUCACGAUAUCAAACUCUCGGUUCCAAGUUGUUCAUCUUUUCUUUCCGGAGCUCCAAGUUAUUUCAAUUAUAUCAUUUCAAAGAUCCAUCUAAAUCAUUGCAAGGAUUCAUCCUGUUCUUUCAACUUCUCCUUCUUUUAUCAUCCUUCUAUUACGGGAGUUCUCACGAAGGCUCUACAUGGUGGUUCGUCAAGGAUUCCUUUCAUUUUUCAAUUGUUCUUCAAGAUUUCUCUUGAAGUCAAGAUCCGCCAAGCUAUACUCAAAGAUAAACAUGGUGUUCAACACAUGUCUUGUUUUGAGGAGUUCAAGCAUUCUUCAUCUUGCAUUCCGAAAUGCAAUUCUCUCUAUCUUAUCUUUCGAGAUGGUGUUAUAUCAUUCUUGAUAAUUACCCUUCAUGGUUCAUGAUUCACAUGUUGUCCGGAAUGACAUAUUUUAAAACCAUCAAUUUCAAUUCGUUCACGAGAUCUUUUCAAUCCUUUAAUCUCUUCGUUGGAUCUAUCUUGUGUCAUGUUUCACCUAAAGCCUUCCCUAAGGAAUAUUGCUAUUAUGGUGUCUAUCAAUGAUCCAAAAUUUCUCCUAUCCUCUCGGCGAGAGAAGUUUUCAUCUCUUCGUUGAUCUCAAGCAAGCAAUUGUUUUCGUUAGUGGCAGAAUUGCUCCUCAAGUUUCGAGAUGUCUCCAUAAGCCCACGAAGCUCAUAUCCUUUCUUUGUUGAUUUUUCAACAACUCCAUUCUUCUCCGUUCUUUUCAUUGCAUUCUUUCAUUUCUACCAGAGGCUUUGUGAUGUUGCUCUCUUCGACCAAUCAUCUUGUUUUGUCAAGAUCAUGUAAUUUUUCCUUUCUUAUCCGUCUAGCCGGAGUGUCAUGUUUUCAUUCGAGUUCUCUCAUCUUAUCAAGUUUUGUCUCCUUCCUCAACCGGAGUGCUGUCUGAAAUCUUUCUUACCCCUUGUGCCAUUCUAGCAUUAGUUCCGGAGGCAAUGUGUUGUUAAUUUCAUCGAGUAUCCUCUCAUCUUGUCAAGAUCAUGUUCAAUUCCUUCCAUUUAAAGUCGGAGUGCUGCCCAAAUUAUAUCAUUCUUAUUCCUUCUCUAUCUUGUUUUAACCGGAGUGGUUUAAAUAUCUAUUGUGUCACUUAACCUCAAGGUUCUCAUGGUGUUCCUUGUCUCUCUUGUCUACCGGAGUCUUCUCAAUUUUGUUCACCUCUGUCGUGUCAUUUCUUCAAGCUUUGCAACCUCUCAAGGUUCUUUGGUUUCACUCGUUUGUCAAAGAAGCAACUUAGUUUUACCUCUUCUCUUCCUCUUCCGUUUUUCUCCGGUGCCGUCCUAGAUCUCGGGACGAGAUCCUCUUGUAGUGGUGGAGUGUUGUAACUCCCCGAGACCGAUGCUCCAGAAGCCUUCAAUGUUCUUCGUUGUCGUUGUGUGUUUUAUUUGUUUGUUGCAUUCAUCAUUGCAUCAUCCGCAUUGCAUCCGCUUGUUUUCUUAAAACUUGCAUCCAUUCGUAGUUCCUGCUUCUCCCUGUCGCCUCCGUUGACCGUUCUCAGUCCAACUGUUCUUUUGUUGUCCGGCCAUUUGAACCUUUCUGCACAGUGCUUCGACCCCUCUCGCGCGUCCGAAACUUCCCCGAACCCGAACCGGACUAUCGUUACCGUUGGGUCCGGAUCAUCCCCUAACAUCUACAAAACAUCUCCGUUUUCUUAUUUGGACUCCAUAUCUAUUUUUCUCGACCGCCCGAUUACGAUCGGACGGACCGAGUUAAUCCCUACCCUAAUCCCCUACCUAUUUAAAUAGACUAACCCUAAAACCUAGGGAUCUUGUCCCAUCCACCCGUCGCCUCCGCCGCCACUCCACCCAAAUUCCCCUCGGGAUCCAUCCCCAAUCAGCCUAGCUACCUUCCUCCUACCCGCACCCGCAGCCAUCCAACCAGCGCCCGAGCCCGAGCUCCUUCGAUCGGAGCCACCAAGAGAUCCCUGCUGCCCCGACCGAGAGCGAGCUUCUCCCGUUUGCUCCUCUCUCCAUGGCGUCGUCGCCGCCGGCGAACCCAGCCACCCCGAGUUCCUCUCGUGCUCCUCCCAUGGCGCCCUCGUUCCCGAGCACGGCGACCCCGCCGCCUCGAACUCCCGUGCGUGCAUCCACUUGUUCUCGUCGCCCUCCGUCUUCUUCGCAGCACCACAGGACCAGCAGCUCCACCGCGCGUGCCCGUCUCCGGCGACCUCGUCCUUCACGUGCUGCCGGUCAAGUCCCUCUCCUUCCCUUUUCUCUCUUCUCCCAUGGCCACUCUGUUUCCCCGUCUCCCUCACCUCUCUCUCCUCUUCAGGAACCCCACGACGCUGCCGUAGACCCAGCCAUGGCGCCCAUGGAGUCCCAAGCAGCAGUCGUCCGCCUCCGGCGAGAACCGACCGUCUCCGACCGGAUCCGCUGCGGAUCCAGCCCUCCCGCUGCUGCCUCGCCAGCCUCGCUCACGCCCCUGCUCGCCGGCGCCAAGUCCCUGUCGCCGCUGCUCUGCUUCCCUGUCGAGCAGAGGACGCCCGUCCCAGCCGCGUUGACCGCACCGAUCCACGACACCUGAACACCCGCGGGUCGGCCUCCUCCGCGCCAAGGCCAAGCGCGCCCCUUCGUGGCCUGCCCAGCCUCCUCCCCACCGAACUGGGCCUGGCCCAUGGUGAGCACCCCAGCGCCCAGCAAGUUUCGGCCCGUAGUAUUUUUUUUCUGCUGCGGUGAUUUUCGCAUUUAUCCAGGAGAUUACAGAUUUGCAGAAAAACCCUUGAACUUCAUGCAUAUAAUAACUCACAAAUGGUGCAUCGGAUUAAAAUGAUUUUAACAUGUAAAAUGCUCAGAAAUUUGUGUAUUUUAAUAAUAUGCCACUUUCACCCAUGUUAAAAUUGUUUAAAAUGUUGUUUGAUUAGAUUUGCUCGAAUAAUAUGUUAAAAUGAUUUAUUUCAUAACUAAAUAACCGUAGCUCGGAUUAUAAUAAACUUUAUAUGUAAAUGGGGUAGAAAAAUGCCUAGUUUAACUUGGUGCACUUCAUUUUGCUGUUUAACAAUAUUAAAAUUGCGUUUAUGGCAGAACAUUACCAAUCCCAAUAUAUGGACAUGAGGAUUUUCCGGAAUUGUUGUUGUUUGUUUCCGGCCUCAUUUAACUUGCUUAAAUAGGUAGUUUCCUUAUGCUUCACCUCUUGCCAUGGUUAAUAACAUUUAAUAUUGUUGGUUACUUAAACAAGAGCGAACUAAAUGACUCGAAUGUGGUGUUUCGUCAAUAUGCAACUCGUUGCAUAUUGAGCUCCACUUAAUUUGUAGUGUUGUUUGUUGCACUUUGCUAUGCCAUGCAUAUUUAAACCGGACAUGCAUCAUAUUUGUUUUUUUUUGCAUCAUGCCAUGUGUAUGUGGUGGUUUGUUUACUUUGUUGUUUGUUUCUUUCCGGGUUGCUUCUCUCGUUAGCUUCGGUUUCAUUCCAGAGUUGUGAGGAUUCGUUCGACUACGUUCGUUUGUCUUCAUCAUGGACUCGUUCUUCUUCCUAGCGGGAUCUCAGGCAAGAUGACCAUACCCUCAAAAUCACUUCUAUCUUUGCUUGCUAGCUGUUCGCUCUAUCGCUAUGCCGCGCUACCUACCACUUGCUUAUCAAGCCUCCCAAGUUGCCAUGAACCUCUAACCUUUGUCACCCUUCCUAGCAAACCGUUGUUUGGCUAUGUUACCGCUUUUGCUCAGCCCCUUCUUAUAGCGUUGCUAGUUGCAGGUGAAGAUUAAGUUUGUUCCUUGUUGGACCAUGGAUUUUAUGAACUCUGUUGGGAUAUCACAAUAUCUCUUAUCUUAAUUAAUGCAUCUAUAUACUUGGCAAAGGGUGGAAGGCUCGGCCUUAUGCCUGGUGUUUUGUUCCACUCUUGCCGCCCUAGUUUCCGUCAUACCGGUGUUAUGUUCCUUGAUUUUGCGUUCCUUACGCGGUUGGGUGAUUUAUGGGACCCCCUUGAUAGUUCGCUUUGAAUAAAACUCCUCCAGCAAGGCCCAACCUUGGUUUUACCAUUUGCCUACCUAAGCCUUUUUCCCUUGGGUUCUGCAGACUCAAGGGUCAUCUUUAUUUUAAACCCCCGGGCCAGUUCUCCUUCGAGUGCUGGUCCAAACCGAGCGAUGUCCGGCGCCCCCUGGGCAACCAGGGUCUAUGCCAACCCGACGUCUUGCUCAUCCGGUGUGCCCUGAGAACGAGAUAUGUGCAGCUCCUAUCGGGAUUUGUCGGCACAUCGGGCGGCUUUGCUGGUCUUGUUUUACCAUUGUCGAAAUGUCUUGUAAACCGGGAUUCCGAGACUGAUCGGGUCUUCCCGGGAGAAGGUUUAUCCUUCGUUGACCGUGAGAGCUUAUGAUGGGCUAAGUUGGGACACCCCUACAGGGUUUUAUCUUUCGAAAGCCGUGCCCGCGGUUAUGUGGCAGAUGGGAAUUUGUUAACGUCCGGUUGUAGAGAACUUGACACUUAACCUUAAUUAAAACGCAUCAACCGUGUGUGUAGCCGUGAUGGUCGCUUCUCGGCGGAGUCCGGGAGGUGAACACGGUUUCUGGGUUAUGUUUGACGUAAGUAAGAGUUCAGGAUCACUUCUUGAUCAUUGCUAGUUCACGACCGUUCCGUUGCUUCUCUUCUCGCUCUCUUUUGCGCAAGUUAGCCACCAUAUAUGCUUAUUGCCGCUGCAGCUCCACCUCAUUACACCAUCCUCUCCUAUAAGCUUAAAUAGUCUUGAUCUCGCGGGUGUGAGAUUGCUGAGUCCUCGUGACUCACAGAUACUUCCAAAACAGUUGCAGGUGCCGUUGAUACCAGUGCAGGUGACGCAACUGAGCUCAAGUGGGAGCUCGAUGAAGAUCUUGUUCAUUCUGUUGUUUCUUUUCAUAUUGAUCAGUAGUGGUGCCCAGUUGGGACGAUCAGGGAUCUAGCAGUUGGGUUGUCUUCUUUUAUUUUGGUUCCGUAGUCGGACCUAUGUGUGUACUCUGAUUGAUGUAUGAUUUAUUUAUGUAUUGUGUGAAGUGGCGAUUGUAAGCCAACUCUUUAUCCCAUUCUUGUUCAUUACAUGGGAUUGUGUGAAGAUGACCCUUCUGGCGACAAAACCACAAUGUGGUUAUGCCUCUAAGUGGUGCCUCGACACGUGGGAGAUAUAGCCGCAUCGUGGGCGUUACACCAAAAUACCCACGGUUAUACAACGGCCCAACCCAGCAGCGAAAACCGUAAAGAGAAAAAAAACGCGCUGGGCUUAGGCAACCUGGGCUGAAGCCUGUGGCCGAAAAUGGCCCAUUAAGCGCUCCCAGGCCUGCGCGGAGCCGAGCAUUGCUGCCAGCCGCCCGAUGGGAAUGGACGGUCCGCGUCGAUCGCGGCUGGAACAAAACAGCCGCCCGGCCAGAACCCUAGCGCAUUUCCCCCNNNNNNNNNNNNNNNNNNNNNNNNNNNNNNNNNNNNNNNNNNNNNNNNNNNNNNNNNNNNNNNNNNNNNNNNNNNNNNNNNNNNNNNNNNNNNNNNNNNNNNNNNNNNNNNNNNNNNNNNNNNNNNNNNNNNNNNNNNNNNNNNNNNNNNNNNNNNNNNNNNNNNNNNNNNNNNNNNNNNNNNNNNNNNNNNNNNNNNNNNNNNNNNNNNNNNNNNNNNNNNNNNNNNNNNNNNNNNNNNNNNNNNNNNNNNNNNNNNNNNNNNNNNNNNNNNNNNNNNNNNNGGCGCGCCGGCCAUGGCGACGCGGCGGCUGCGCUCGCCGGAGGAGCGUGCAGCAGGAUGAAUCCCGCGCGCUACCCCGUCGAGCGUGGCCCCGGCGUCCGCGCAGAUGGCGCUUCAUUCGGUGGGUGAGGGGUGCGCCGGCCACCGCGGCUGUUGGGGUCGACGGCGAUGUGCAGGGCGACGGCCCGUACACGCACGCGUCCGUAACAACGGCGUCAAGGCGCAGGAGCAUUCCGCGCGUCGGCCAGGGCACGACGGCGUUGCGGCGUCUCCGCCCUCACGCAGUGAUACAUCUCCAAAGUAUCUAUAAUUUAUGAAGUAUUCAUGCUAUUAUAUUAUCUGUUUUGGAUGUUUAUGGGCUUUACUAAACACUUUUAUAUUAUUUUUGGGACUAACCUAUUAACCGGAGGCCCAACCCAAAUUGCUGUUUUCUUGCCUAUUUCAGUGUUUCGAAGAAAAGGAAUAUCAAACGGAGUCGAAACGGAAUGAAACCUUCGGAAGAGUUAUUUUUGGAACGGAAGCAAUCCAGGAGACUUGGAGUAGACGUCAGGGAAGCUUCGAGGAAGCCACGAGGCAGGGAGGCGCGCCCUACCCCCUGGGCGCGCCCCCCACCCUCAUGGGCCCCUCGUGGCUCCCCUGGCCGACUUCUUUCGCCUAUAUAUCUCCAUAUACCCUAAAAACAUCGGGGAACACAAUAGAUAGGGAGUUCCGCCGCCGCAAGCCUCUGAAGCCACCAAAAACCAAUCGGGACCCUGUUCCGGCACCGUGCCAGAGGGGGGAUCCCUCACUGGUGGCCAUCUUCAUCAUCCCGGCGCUCUCCAUGACGAGGAGGGAGUAGUUCACCCUCGGGGCUGAGGGUAUGUACCAGUAGCUAUGUGUUUGAUUUCUCUCUCUCGUGUUCUUGAGUUGGCACGAUCUUGAUGUAUCGCGAGCUUUGCUAUUAUAGUUGGAUCUUAUGAUGUUUCUCCCCCUCUACUCUCUUGUAAUGGAUUGAGUUUUCCCUUUGAAGUUAUCUUAUCAGAUUGAGUCUUUAAGGAUUUGAGAACACUUGAUGUAUGUCUUGCAUGUGCUUAUCUGUGGUGACAAUGGGAUAUCACGUGAUCCACUUGAUGUAUGUUUUGGUGAUCAACUUGCGAGUUCCGUGACCUCGUGAACUUAUGCAUAGGGGUUGGCACACGUUUUCGUAUUGACUCUCCGGUAGAAACUUUGGGGCACUCUUUGAAGUUCUUUGUGUUAGUUGAAUAGAUGAAUCUGAGAUUGUGUGAUGCAUAUCGUAUAAUCAUACCCACGGAUACUUGAGGUGACAUUGGAGUAUCUAGGUGACAUUAGGGUUUUGGUUGAUUUGUGUCUUAAGGUGUUAUUCUAGUACGAACUCUAUGAUAGAUCCAACGGAAAGAAUAGCUUCGUGUUAUUUUACUACGGACUCUUGAAUAGAUCGAUCAGAAAGGAUAACUUUGAGGUGGUUUCGUACCCUACAAUAAUCUCUUCGUUUGUUCUCCGCUAUUAGUGACUUUGGAGUGACUCUUUGUUACAUGUUGAGGGAUAGUUAUAUGAUCCAAUUAUGUUAUUAUUGUUGAGAGAACUUGCACUAGUGAAAGUAUGAACCCUAGGCCUUGUUUCAACGCAUUGCAAUAUCGUUUGUGCUCACUUUUAUCAUUAUUUACCUUGCUAUUUUUAUAUUUUCAGAUUACAAAAACCUAUAUCUAUCAUCCAUAUUGCACUUGUAUCACCAUCUCUUCGCCGAACUAGUGCACCUAUACAAUUUACCAUUGUAUUGGGUGUGUUGGGGACACAAGAGACUUUGUUAUUUGGUUGCAGGGUUGCUUGAGAGAGACCAUCUUCAUCCUACGCCUCCCACGGAUUGAUAAACCUUAGGUCAUCCACUUGAGGGAAAUUUGCUACUGUCCUACAAACCUCUGCACUUGGAGGCCCAACAACGUCUACAAGAAGAAGGUUGUGUAGUAGACAUCAAGCUCUUUUCUAGCGCCGUUGCCGGGGAGGUUAGCGCUUGAAGGUAUAUCUUUAGAUCUUGCAAUUGAAUCUUUUAGUUUCUUGUUUUAUCACUAGUUUAGUUUAUAAAAGAAAACUACAAAAAAAUGGAAUUGAGGGUACCUCAUAUGCUUCAUCUUUUUAAUAUCUUUCGUGAAAAUAAGGAUUCCGAUAAUUGUUCUCAAUUGCUAGAGGAAGAAUGCAUUAAAAUGUUUGGCACUAAAUUUUUGAAUGAUGAGCAUGAUUGCAAUGUUGUUAGUAUGAAUUCCUUGAAUAUACAUGAUGCUAAUGAUAUGCAAAGCUACAAGCUUGGGGAUGCUAUGUUUGAUGAAGAUGAUAUUUUUAGUCCCCCAAGUUUUGAUGAGCAAAUUUAUUAUGAUGAAAGCAUGCCUCCUAUUUUUGAUGAUUAUAUUGAUGAAAGUGGAUUUGGAGAGGUCAUGACUUUAUUUAGUGAUGAAUCCACUAUUUCGGAAGAGGUUCCAAUUGAUUAUGAGAACAAAGUUGCUAUCUAUGAUGAUUAUUGUGAUGACAUGUAUGCUAUGAAGAAAAAUGAUAACCAUGAAACUUGUCAUUAUUAUUUUAAUUUUCAAUUGGACUAUGCUUCACAUGAUAAUUAUUUUGUUGAGUUUCCUCCCACUACUAUUCAUGAGAAGAAGUUUGCUUACAUGGAGAGUAAUAAAAUUUAUAUGCAUGUAGAUCAUGAAAAGAAUGCUUUAUGUGAUGGUUAUAUUGUUGAAUUCAUUCAUGAUGCUACUGAAAUUUAUUAUGAGGGAGGAACAUGUGCUUGUAGGAAUUGCAAUAAUACCAAGUUUCCUCUCUAUGUGUUGAAAAUCUUGAAGUUAUGCUUGUUUUACCUUCCUAUGUUAGUUGAUUAUUGUUCCCAUAAGUUGUUUGCUCACAAAGUCCCUAUGCAUAGGAAGUGGGUUAGACUUAAAUGUGCUAGUCAUAUUCUUCAUGAUGCUCUCUUCAUGUUUCAAUUCUUAUCUUUUAUGUGAGCAUCAUAGAAAUCAUCAUGCCUAGCUAGGGGCGUUAAACGUUAGCGCUUGUUGGGAGGCAACCCAAUUUUAUUUUUGUUUCUUGCUUUUUGGUUCUGUUUAGUAAUAACUAAAUCAUCUAGCCUCUGGUUAGAUGUGGUUUUAUAUUUUAAUUAGUGUCUGUGCCAAGUAAGACCUAUAGGAUCUUCUUGGAUGAUAAUUAUUUGAUCUUGCUGAAAAAGAUAGAAACUUUCUGAUCACAAAAACAAUUGUUAAAAAUCACCAGAAAGUGAUAAAAUACUGAUUCCAAUUGCAGUAGAUCAAUAAUCAAAUUAUCUAGGUCUUCCUAUUUUGGCAGAUUUUUCUGAGUUCCAGAAGUUUACGUUUGAUACAGAUUACUACAGACUGUUCUGUUUUUGACAGAUUCUGUUUUCAUUAUGUUGUUUGCUUAUUUUGAUGAAUCUAUGAGUAGUAUCGGAGGGUAUGAAUCAUAGAUAAGUUUUAAUACAGUAGAUAUUACACCAAUAUGAAUCUAGAAUGAGUUCACAACAGUACCUAAAUGGUGAUUUAUUUUCUUAUACUAACGGAGCUUACGAGUUUUCUGUUGAGUUUUGUGUUGUGAAGUUUUCAAGUUUUGGGUAAAGAUUCGAUGGACUAUGGAAUAAGGAGUGGCAAGAGCCUAAGAUUGGGGAUGCCCAGGGCACCCCAAGGUAAUAUUCAAGGACAACCAAGAGCCUAAGCUUGGGGAUGCCCCGGAUGGCAUCCCCUCUUUCGUCUUUGUUCAUCGGUAACUUUACUUGGAGCUAUAUUUUUAUUCACCACAUGAUAUGUGUUUUGCUUGGAGCAUCAUUUUAUUUUGUUAGUAUUUGCUUGAUGUUAUUUAGAAUAAUGUUUUGCAUCUCUAUUUUCAAUAAAAAUGUCAAGGAUAGCCUUUACCAUGCUUAUUUUGCAAGUAUACAUGUUGCUGUUUCAAAACAAAAAGUUUACCGCUGUUGCAAAAAUUCCCUAGAAAAGUCAGAAUAUGAUAAAAUGUUGAAACUUUUUGCAUAUUGAGCUAUGAUAAAUUUUAUACAGUGUGGUAGAAUUUCAUAAUGUUUGGAGUUAGGGAAGUAUGAUGAAUCUUGCAUUCUUUACAGACUGUACUGUUUUGGCAGAUUGCUGUUAUGCUUGCAUUGUUUGCAUAUGUUUGCUUGUUUAAUGAUUCUAUUUGAGGAUAGGAGUAUUAAAUAUGCAAAGGUAUUUAGUAUACAAUGUUGAAUAAUAAUUUUAGUGAUUUGUUACAGUAGAAAAUGAUAAGGUUUUUGCAUUGGUUUAUACUAACUUAUCUCACGAGUUCUUGUUGAGUUUGGUGUGGAUGAAGCUUUCGAGAUUUAGGAAACCGUGAUAUAAAAGGAAUUAAGGAGACGCAAAAUUUCAAGCUUGGGGAUGCCCAAGGCACCCCAAGAUAAUAUUUCAAGAAUUCUCAAGCAUCUAAGCUUGGGGAUGCCUCGGUAGGCAUCCCACCUUUCUUCUUCAACAAUUAUCGGUUAGUAUCGGUUGAGCCUAAAUUUUAGCUUCUUCACAUGAUGAGUGCUAUCCUUGAAAUGUUGUUUUAUUUUGGUUUGCUUGUUGUUUGAAUAAUAUCCCAAGAUCUGAAAUUCUUAAAUGAGAGAGAGUCCUCACAUAGCUACAUAAUUAUUUAACUACUUAUUGAUCUUCACUUAUAUCUUUUUGGAGUAGUUUUUCAUUUACUCGUGUGAUUCACUUAUACCCUAUGAGUAAAUGGUUGAAUGAUUUGAAUGUCAUAAAUCUGAAAUUAUAUAUGUUUCAUGUGCCCUUCCCAUGGGGAGUAAUGCCUUCACAUAUAAGAAGUAGAGGUGGUAAAUUUUUUGAAGGUUAGCAAACAUUGUAUUGGUCACUUGAACAAUUCAUGAAAGAAUAUUGAAGGAAGAGAGAUUUCACAUAUAAAUAUACUAUCUUGGACAUCUUCUAUGAUUGUGAUCCCCAUUAAUUAUUUUCAAACCUGAGCAAAUUAGUUGAAGUUGGACAAGGAAGACAACAUAAUGAGUUAUGCUUGGGUAUAUUUGUAUAGAAGCUAUAUUGUUAUGGAUCCUCUAACAUGUGGUGCUUGCUAUUUAGAAUCCUUUGCUAGCCAAAAUAUCUGUACUAAGCGGGAAUACUGCUUGUGCAUCCAAAAUCCUUGAACCAAGUUCCUUCCAUGAGUGUCCACCAUAUCUACCUAUAUGCGGUAUUUACCUGUCGUUCCAAGUAAAUUUGCAUGUGCCAGACUCUAAACCUUCAAAUAAUAAUCUGUUUUGUAUGCUCGAAUCGCUCAUGUAGCGACUAGGGCUGUCAGUAUCUUCCAUGCUAGGUGGGUUAUUCUCACGAUGAGUGGACUCCGCUCACCAUUCACGAGAAAAUGGCUGGUAACUGGGAUGCCCAGUCCUAUGAUCAAAAGAUCAAAAACAAAUUCGCAAAUAAUUUAAACAAACUACCCCAGGAUUGUUGAUAGUUGGACGGCACCCGUUGUUUCGGACAAGCCGUGGAGUGUGAUUGUUGGUGGAGGGGGAGUAAAAUCUUUACCUUUCUGUUUGGGAACUGCCUAUAAUGUAUCUAGUAUGGAAGAUAUUGGGAACUCUUGGUCAUUAUGUUGACAAUGAACGCAUACCUCUCAAAAUUAUUUUCAUCUCUGUUUUAGCUUCGAGCUCUGGCACCUCUGCAAAUCCCUGCUUCCCUCUGCGAAGGGUCUAGCUUUUACUUUUAUGCAAGAGUUAGUAGUAUUCCUUCUCAUUCCAACCUACUUUUUAGGUGGCAAGCAUCAUGUGGUGGAGAAAGAUCUAAGCAUAUAUGGCCAUUCAAAUAUAUUUGAGCAUGAAUUAUUAUUGUUGACAUUACCCUUGAGGUAAAAGGUUGGGAGGCGAAACAUUAAGCCCCUAUCUUUCUUUGUGUUCGAUGAAUACUAUUUGUUCUAAAAAUAUGCUUCGAGUGGUAGCAAUCAUGGAAGACUAUAUGAUAGUUGAGUAUGUGGGAUUUGCUAAAUCAAAGCUCUUACAUAGACCCUUCCUAAAAAUAAGAUGAAUUGCAAUUGUUUGAUGACUGAGAACAUAGUUUGUUAGUUUUCAAGAAAGUUUAUGGUCUAUGCUUUAACAUGUGAAUAGCUUGAAAAAAUUUAUGAGUUGAGCUACUGUUAUGACAUAUAAUGAUGCUAGAAAAGGUGAUUGAAAUUAUCAUUGAUCAAACUUGUGCACCUGCUAGCAUUCACACUUCAUAAAUUAUUUAUUUUAUCAUUUACCUACUCGAGGAUGAGCAGGAAUUAAGCUUGGGGAUGCUGAUACGUCUCCAACGUAUCUAUAAUUUAUGAAGUAUUCGUGCUAUUAUAUUAUCUAUUUUGGAUGUUUAUGGGCUUUACUAAACACUUUUAUAUUAUUUUUUGGACUAACCUAUUAACCGGAGGCCCAGCCCAAAUUGUUGUUUUCUUGCCUAUUUCAGUGUUUUGAAGAAAAGGAAUAUCAAACGGAGUUCAAACGGAAUGAAACCUUCGGGAGAGUUAUUUUUGGAACGGAAGCAAUCCAGGAGACUUGGAGUGGACGUCAGGGAAAUUCGAGGAAGCAACGAGGUAGGGAGGCGCGCCCUACCCCCCCUAGGCGUGCCCCCCACCCUCGUGGGCCCCUCGUGGCUCCCCUGACCGACUUCUUUCGCCUAUAUAUGUCCAUAUACCCUAAAAACAUCGGGAAACACAAUAGAUCGGGAGUUCCGCCGCUGCAAGCCUCUGUAGCCACCAAAAACCAAUCGGGACCAUGUUCCGGCACCCUGCCGGAGGGGGGAUCCCUCACCGGUGGCCAUCUUCAUCAUCCCGGCGCUCUCCAUGACGAGGAGGGAGUAGUUCACCCUCGGGGCUGAGGGUAUGUACUAGUAGCUAUGUGUUUGAUCUCUCUCUCUCUCUCGUGUUCUUGAGUUGGCACGAUCUUGAUGUAUCGCGAGCUUUGCUAUUAUAGUUGGAUCUUAUGAUGUUUCUCCCCCUCUACUCUCUUGUAAUAGAUUGAGUUUUCCCUUUGAAGUUAUCUUAUCGGAUUGAAUCUUUAAGGAUUUGAGAACACUUGAUGUAUGUCUUGCAUGUGCUUAUCUGUGGUGACAAUGGGAUAUCACGUGAUCCACUUGAUGUAUGUUUUGGUGAUCAACUCGCGAGUUCCGUGACCUCGUGAACUUAUGCAUAGGGGUUGGCACACAUUUUCGUCUUGACUCUCCGGUAGAAACUCUAGGGCACUCUUUGAAGUUCUUUGUGUUGGUUGAAUAGAUGAAUAUGAGAUUGUGUGAUGCAUAUCGUAUAAUCAUACCCACGGAUACUUGAGGUGACAUUGGAGUAUCUGAAGGAAAUAUGCCCUAGAGGCAAUAAUAAAGUAUUAUAUAUUUCCUUAUAUCAUGAUAAAUGUUUAUUAUUCAUGCUAGAAUUGUAUUAACCGGAAACAUAAUACAUGUGUGAAUACAUAGACAAAUAGAGUGUCACUAGUAUGCCUCUACUUGACUAGCUCGUUAAUCAAAGAUGGUUAUGUUUCCUAGCCAUAGACAUAAGUUGUCAUUUGAUUAACGAGAUCACCUCAUUAGGAGAAUGACGUGAUUGACUUGACCCAUUCCGUUAGCUUAGCACCCGAUCGUUUAGUAUGUUGCUAUUGCUUUCUUCAUGACUUAUACAUGUUCCUCUGACUAUGAGAUUAUGCAACUCCCGUUUACCGGAGGAACACUUUGUGUGCUACCAAACGUCACAACGUAAAUGGGUGAUUGUAAAGGUGCUCUACAGGUGUCUCCAAAGGUACUUAUUGGGUUGGCGUAUUUCGAGAUUAGGAUUUGUCACUCCGAUUGUCGGAGAGGUAUCUCUGGGCCCACUCGGUAAUGCACAUCACUAUAAGCCUUGCAAGCAUUGUGACUAAUGAGUUAGUUGCGAGAUGAUGUAUUACGGAACGAGUAAAGAGACUUGCCGGUAACGAGAUUGAACUAGGUAUCGAGAUACCGACGAUCAAAUCUCGGGCAAGUAACAUACCGGUGACAAAGGGAACAACGUAUGUUGUUAUGCGGUCUGACCGAUAAAGAUCUUCAUAGAAUAUGUGGGAGCCAAUAUGGGCAUCCAGGUCCCGCUAUUGGUUAUUGACCGGAGACGUGUCUCGGUCAUGUCUACAUAGUUCUCGAACCCGUAGGGUCCGCAAGCUUAAAGUUACGAUGACAGUUUUAUUAUGAGUUUAUGUAUGUUGAUGUACCGAAGGAGUUCGGAGUCCCGGAUGAGAUCGGGGACAUGACGAGGAGUCUCGAAAUGGUCGAGACGUAAAGAUCGAUAUAUUGGACGACUAUAUUCGGACUUCGGAAAGGUUCCGAGUGAUUCGGGUAUUUUUCGGAGUACCGGAGAGUUACGGGAAUACGUAUUGGGCCUUAUUGGGCCAUACGGGAAAGAAGGAAAAGGGCCUCAAGGGUGGCCGCACCCCUUCCCUUGGUCUGGUCCGAAUUGGACUAGGGAAGGGGGGCGCCCCCUUCCUUCCUUCUCUUUUUCCCUUCCUCUUUUCCUAUUCCAUAUGGGAGGUGGAAUCCUACUAGGACUAGGGAGUCCUAGUAGGACUCCACACUUGGUGCGCCCCCUCCUAGGGCCGGCCUCCUCCUCCCUUGCUCCUUUAUAUACGGGGGCAGGGGGGCACCCCAGAGACACAACUAUUGAUCCUUGAGAUCUCUUAGCCGUGUGCGGUGCCCCCCUCCACCAUAUUACACCUCGAUAAUACCGUUGCGGAGCUUAGGCGAAGCCCUGCGUCGGUGGAACAUCAUCAUCGUCACCAUGCCGUCGUGCUGACGAAACUCUCCCUCAACACUUGGCUGGAUCGGAGUUCGAGGGACGUCAUCGAGCUGAACGUGUGUAGAACUCGGAGGUGCCGUACGUUCGGUACUUGAUCGGUCGGAUCGUGAAGACGUACGACUACAUCAACCGCGUUGUGAUAACGCUUCCGCUGUCGGUCUACGAGGGUACGUGGACAACACUCUCCCCUCUCAUUGCUAUGCAUCACCAUGAUCUUGCGUGUGCGUAGGAAAAUUUUGAAAUUACUACGUUCCCCAACAGUAUCUAGGUGACAUUAGGGUUUUGGUUGAUUUGUGUCUUAAGGUGUUGUUCUAGUACGAACUCUAUGAUAGAUCCAACGGAAAGAAUAGCUUCGUGUUAUUUUACUACGGACUCUUGAAUAGAUCGAUCAGAAAGGAUAACUUUGAGGUGGUUUCGUACCCUACAAUAAUCUCUUCGUUUGUUCUCCGCUAUUAGUGACUUUGGAGUGACUCUUUGUUACAUGUUGAGGGAUAGUUAUAUGAUCCAAUUAUGUUAUUAUUGUUGAGAGAACUUGCACUAGUGAAAGUAUGAACCCUAGGCCUUGUUUCAACGCAUUGCAAUAUCAUUUGUGCUCACUUUUAUCAUUAGUUACCUUGCUAUUUUUAUAUUUUCAGAUUACAAAAACCUAUAUCUAUCAUCCAUAUUGCACUUGUAUCACCAUCUCUUCGCCGAACUAGUGCACCUAUAUAAUUUACCAUUGUAUUGGGUGUGUUGGGGACACAAGAGACUCUUUGUUAUUUGGUUGCAGGGUUGCUUGAGAGAGACCAUCUUCAUCCUACGCCUCCCACGGAUUGAUAAACCUUAGGUCAUGCACUUGAGGGAAAUUUGCUACUGUCCUACAAACCUCUGCACUUGGAGGCCCAACAACAUCUACAAGAAGAAGGUUGUGUAGUAGACAUCACGCAGCGGUGGGCAUCGUGCGGGCCCCGAAGGAAAAAGGCGGCUACGCGGCGCAUUGAGUGAGCAUUUCUUCUCAUUCUCCCCCAAAAUCGUAUUCAUCAGUGCUUAAUUGGUGAAAAAACAAGGCCUAAUUGAAGAAUUAGGGUUCUACCGAAAUUGGGGAUAAAUGCUAGGGUUCUUAAACAUGAGGGGUUGCUACUGUUGACUUGCGUGUAUCCCUCUGCCUUCUAUUUUGCUAAUGCAUAUGGAAACAGGACUUCAACAUGAUCAAUUUUAAUUAACUUAACAUGAAGGUGAGCAUUAGAUCUUAACUUAGAUUAAUUAAAAAAUAUGAACAUAGGUGGCAGUACUGAUCCGUAGCAAAUUAGAAUUAAAACAUGAUGAUUUACAGAGGGCAUCAAGACAGUAGCAUGCAUAUUUGGGCUAACCAGGGGCUAAAACUUUCAAUCUUGAUCAUGAACCCUAAACCUGACAUUGAUCUAAACAUGAUAAUGAUCUACUGAUCAACAAUAAAGGGGUCUAUUGCAAUCAAGAUUGGCGACUGAUACCAUUGUUGGAUUAAUUAUGCAUCUAUGGGAUGUCAUUAGCAGGAUCAAAUUGCAUCUAGAUCACCCAAUAACCAUGAACAGAGAAGGGUUCAGAGAUCCUUUACAUGUCACGGGAGUGGACAUGAUCGCCUGCUCGGUGCAGGCGUGAUGCAGGGGUGAUGUAGUCGAAGCAGAGGUUCUCCUCGACGUCCUGAUUCCUUCAGGACACCACCGGGACUGGCUGGGGACGGUAGCGGCGGCGGCUGGAGUAGGUCUUCCCGUUGCUACAGCGCUCCCCCUGAUCGGAUGGGGUGAGAGAAUAUCGGGAGGGGAGUGAAACCGUACGAGAAUUGUGAUCGCACAGGCUACCAACCCUCUCCCGUACCCCCUUUUAUCUAGCGCUGGCGACAGGGGACCUAAACCAUCAGUUGGUUUGGGUGCCCCCGAUCAGGGCGCCUCAGUUGGGAUAAAAAGCCCACGUACGUUGGUGCGUGGGCCCUUUUCAUUAACGUUAUCUUCCCUUUUUCUGUUAGACUAAUAGAUCUAACUGGCAUGUUAAGCCGUCAGAUCAAACCAACACUCCUCCCCUCGCGGCCGGGUGCUCCUUCCCUCCGAGCUCCCGCGCUGCUCCUCUCCUUGCGGCGACCCGCCUCCAUGCGCCUGCGACGCCCGCGCCGGCUGGUCCGCCGCCCGCUCCCUUCCCCGGCACGAUGUGGGUGCUGCCUCAGCUGCGAGGUACUCGAGGACGGCGACGAGGUAGACGGGGGCGCCGGAGCCGACGCGCUGGGCGUAGCGGCGAGGCAGCGGCCGACGGGCUUGUGAGAGAGAGAGAGAGGGGGGGAUGGGCGUGUGUGGAGGGGAGCACGUGGUGGGCCAGGGAAGGAAAGGGAAGAGAGAGGAGAGAGAUACUAGCAGGUGGGCCAGCACCUGCAAAACGACAAAAAUAGCCCCCCAGACGCCCCCCAGCUCCCUGGGUUUGCGUUGGGGUCGCCGGCUCUAUUUUUGACCAAAUCCGGCGCUAAUCGAGCUCGUGGGGCGUGCGUGGGGCUUUUUUCGUCCGCCGGCGAUGAAAAAGUGCUCCUGGAGGCCUUCCGGGGGACGGGUGGAGAUUCUCUAAGGUAGGUGUGAGUGUGACCGUGACCGGUGCCGGCACACCCAGCACGACCGAGAUGAGAUCCUCGUCGCUUGAUGGAGCCCUGCCGCGGAUACAAACUCGUCAGCGCGAUCACCGCCGUCCAGUGGAAGGCGAGAGCGUGCGUGUGUGUGGUGGGUUUCAACGGCUGAGCACGGCGAGGCAGACACAUCAAUGCAUGCACCUGGUAAUGCCAAGGUCUUUCUCUGCUUGGCGUGUGAGUCAUUAGUCACCGGACGAUGACGAACCUCCCCGCCGAUUUUUCUUCAAUCUGAUUGUUACGGUGAGGUGCUGGUCCAAUAUUUUGACACGGCCGAGGAGACGCAGGAGUAGGCAAAAAGACUUGUCGGUCUGGUCAAUGCAAGAAAGCGGAGCUCGUGCUUCCAGAGACAUACCUGAUUUUUGACAGAGGUUCGAGCUUUGCUUACCACGCCUGCUCCUCAUCAAACAGGUCUGCCUGUCAACGAAAUUGACUGUUCGCUGCUUUCUUCGCGAUCAGAAGAAUUGAACGAGGGCGGUUGCGGUGAGGCGUGGAUGCACUAUUGUCCAGAAUUGAACGAGGGUGUAGCAGUUGGCUGAUGCUGACUGCACGUUUCUACACCUUGUAAAAAGGAAUCUCUCCAAUCCCCGCAAAAAGUAGCCGCGGAACACAAACGGGGCUUGCCCUUAUCGACGGCAACAAAGCCUUUCGGUCUCAAACAAGCUGAAGUAGUAGGCUCAAACAAGUUGAACCCAUAAGAUCUCGAAAUCAAACCAUGGUUCUAGCACAUGGAUAGCUAACUUCGGCACACCCUCUCCAUGGCUAAUUCUUUGAUGAUAUUUCAGUCCUUCAGAUCCCUCUUUACGCAUCUAAAAUCCAGAACCAGACCAGCCCUUUUAUAACGGAUCUAAAAUCAAGAACCAGAACAGCACAAGUCCACAGCUGGGAAUUCAUGAACAAUAUUGUAAUUCAAAGGCCAAGACAAAACUUGCACACACUUUCUCCAUUACGUUACAUUUCCUUUCUUUGUACAUUGUCACCUAGUUGUACAACCCAAGACAACACAAGCUCGCUAACACUCCUCUCCACAUGCUAACCAAAAGAAAAAGAAAAAGUUAAAAGGAAUACAUAAUCACACAAAGAACCAAAGCCAGGAAACACCCAAAUACAAGGGAAUCGUUUGCUUAUAUACUAUACACAAACCUACACAAACAAACGGGACCCCCCAAAAAUCUCACUCCCCUACCAAACAAAAUGUCCAUAUAAAACAGAAGAAUGUUAC
rnacentral:lncRNA from 1 species